rnacentral:rRNA from 1 species
AGCAGCCGCGGUAAUUCCAGCUCCAAUAGCGUAUAUUAAAGUUGUUGCAGUUAAAAAGCUCGUAGUUGAAUUUCGGGAUCAAUAUAUCGGUCGUGCCUUGGUACGUACUGGUAUCAUUGGUUUCUCCUUUCUGACGAACCAUGAUGUCAUUAAUUUGGUGUUAUGGGAAGUUAGGACUGUUACUUUGAAAAAAUUAGAGUGUUUAAAGCAGGCUUUAGCUUGAAUACAUUAGCAUGGAAUAAUGAAAUAGGACGUUCGAACCUAUUUUGUUGGUUUCUAGGAUCAACGUAAUGAUUAAUAGGGAUAGUUGGGGGCAUUAGUAUUCAAUUGUCAGAGGUGAAAUUCUUGGAUUUAUUGAAGACUAACUACUGCGAAAGCAUUUGCCAAGGAUGUUUUCAUUAAUCAAGAACGAAANUUNGGGGAUCGAAGNCGAUCAGAUACCGUCGUAGUCCUAACAUAAACUAUGCCGACUAGGGAUCGGAUGAUGUUAAUUUUUUAAUGACUCAUUCGGCGCCUUACG